UCGCCUGUUAACAAAAACAUAGCGUUAUGAAAAUUAAUAUAAGGUUUUACCUGCCCAAUGAUGAGCUUUAAUGGCCGCAGUACUUUGACUGUGCUAAGGUAGCAUAAUAAAUUGACUUUUAAUUAAGGUCUAGAAUGAAAGGAUAAAUGAAUAGUUACUGUCUCUUCAAAAGUUAUAUAAAUUUUCUUAAAAGGUGAAAAUUCCUUUAAUUUAACUAAAAAGACGAGAAGACCCUAGGAGUUUAAUAUUAUUUUGUUGGGGCAACAUUAUAGCAAAUAACCUAUAAUAUAAUAGCGAAUAUAACGAAGUAUUUAAAUUAAAAAUAAGCUACCCUAGGGAUAACAGCAUAAUUUACUGUAAAGCAAGUUUGUGACCUCGAUGUUGGACUAGGAACUUUGAAUAUUAAUUAUAUUUAUUGAUUUGUUCUGUUCGAACAUAAUAUACCUACGUGAUCUGAGUUCAGACCGGA
rnacentral:rRNA from 1 species